rnacentral:rRNA from 1 species
ACUCAAAGGAAUAGACGGGGGCCCGCACAAGCGGCGGAGCAUGCGGAUUAAUUCGAUGCAACGCGAAGAACCUUACCAAGGCUUGACAUGAACUAGUAAGGCGCAGAAAUGCGUCCCCCUCUUGAGGCUGGUUUACAGGUGGUGCAUGGUUGUCGUCAGCUCGUGUCGUGAGAUGUUGGGUUAAGUCCCGCAACGAGCGCAACCCUCGUUCUAUGUUGCCAGCACGUGAUGGUGGGGACUCAUAGGAGACUGCCGGGGUCAACUCGGAGGAAGGUGGGGACGACGUCAAAUCAUCAUGCCCCUUAUGUCUUGGGCUUCACGCAUGCUACAAUGGCCGGUACAAAGGGUUGCGAUACUGUGAGGUGGAGCUAAUCCCAAAAAGCCGGUCUCAGUUCGGAUUGGGGUCUGCAACUCGACCCCAUGAAGUCGGAGUCGCUAGUAAUCGCAGAUCAGCAACGCUGCGGUGAAUACGUUCCCGGGCCUUGCACACACCGCCCGU